ACGAACGCUGGCGGCGUGCUUAACACAUGCAAGUCGAACGGAAAGGCCCUGCUUUUGUGGGGUGCUCGAGUGGCGAACGGGUGAGUAACACGUGAGUAACCUGCCCUUGACUUUGGGAUAACUUCAGGAAACUGGGGCUAAUACCGGAUAGGAGCUCCUGCUGCAUGGUGGGGGUUGGAAAGUUUCGGCGGUUGGGGAUGGACUCGCGGCUUAUCAGCUUGUUGGUGGGGUAGUGGCUUACCAAGGCUUUGACGGGUAGCCGGCCUGAGAGGGUGACCGGCCACAUUGGGACUGAGAUACGGCCCAGGCUCCUACGGGAGGCAGCAGUGGGGAAUAUUGCACAAUGGGCGGAAGCCUGAUGCAGCAACGCCGCGUGCGGGAUGACGGCCUUCGGGUUGUAAACCGCUUUCGCCUGUGACGAAGCGUGAGUGACGGUAAUGGGUAAAGAAGCACCGGCUAACUACGUG
rnacentral:rRNA from 1 species